AGAAAUUUCUCUACUGAAAGAAGAGGAGUACCACGCCACAAAACAUAAAAUGCGCAGCUGGCGGCGGAUCCUGGAGAGAGGAGAGAAAACCAAAGUAAUAUCACAUGCAUAUGAGCAUAUCCUCCGGUUUUACCAGAACCAACGGCUACGAUCAAACCUCAUUACCACAAUCCAACGGCCCUAACCACAACCGCGUUUACAAACCCAACACGGGAACCCUCGGAAUCUCUUUUAACAAACAAUCAUAAAUCCUCUACUUAGACCCUAACCGUGUCUCCCUCCCUCUCUCUCAAGCCAAGAACUCAGAUUUAUAUUUACAAUCUAACUAUUGAAACUCAGAUUCAUUUCCUUUUUCUUUGAAAUCUGAUUCCAUAUAGAAUAGGUACGUAUAUAUUCGUUUGGAUAAUAAGGUAAGAUGCAAUCCAACGGCUCCGAUUCACAGCAGCAGGAGCAGAACCAACGCCAGCAACAGCCGCCGCCUCCACCUCAGCUGCCUCAACAGCAGCAGCAGCAGUGGAUGGCGAUGCAGUAUCCAGCGGCUGCCAUGGUAAUGCAGCACCAAAUGAUGCCACCUCAGCAUUACUCGUCUCCACCGCCGCAGCACUACAUGGCUGCGUACCACCAAUACCACCAUCACCACCCGCACCUACAACAACCGCCACAGCAACAUCAUCAAAACCAGGGAUCUAGCGGUGAGAACAAAACGAUUUGGAUCGGUGAUUUGCAUCACUGGAUGGACGAAAAUUAUCUCCAUACCUGUUUUGCUUCCACCGGCGAGAUUGCUGCCAUUAAGGUUAUUCGCAAUAAGCAGACUGGUUUGUCUGAGGGCUAUGGAUUUGUGGAAUUUUUUACACAUGCAAAAGCUGAGAAUGUUCUGCAGACCUAUACUGGCAUUUUGAUGCCUAAUACAGAACAGCCUUUCCGUCUCAACUGGGCAACAUUUAGCACGGGUGAUAAGCGAUCAGACAAUGCGCCUGAUCUUUCUAUUUUUGUUGGAGAUUUAGCUGCAGAUGUUACUGAUAGUAUAUUGCAUGAAACUUUUGCUGGUAGAUAUCCAUCUGUUAAAGCUGCUAAAGUUGUAUUUGAUGCCAAUACUGGCCGUUCAAAAGGUUAUGGUUUUGUGAGAUUUGGAGAUGAUAGUGAAAGAGCACAGGCUAUGACAGAAAUGAAUGGUGUACAUUGUUCAAGCAGGCCUAUGCGUAUUGGUGCUGCAACACCCAGGAAGUCCUCUGGAUAUCAGCAACAAGGCGGAUAUUCAUCAAAUGGUGCCUCUGGACAUGGCUUCCAAUCAGAUGGUGAUUCCACUAAUACAACAAUAUUUGUUGGAGGACUUGACCCUAAUGUCACUGAUGAAGAUCUCAAGCAACCUUUUUCUCAAUAUGGUGAGAUAGUUUCCAUUAAAAUUCCAGUUGGUAAAGGAUGUGGAUUUGUACAAUUUGGCAGCAGGUAAAACUUGUAGUUCUGCUCUGCUUUACAUUUUAAGGAAAUGCUAAGGUAUGAGUUCUGUUAUUUCCUCAUAUUGAGUUCUUACAUAGUCUGCCAUCUAACUUCUAUUGACAGGAGUAAUGCUGAGGAGGCAUUGCAAAAAUUGAAUGGGACAGUAAUUGGCAAGCAAACAGUGCGUCUUUCUUGGGGUCGCAAUCCAGCAAAUAAGCAGGUAUGCAUGUCAGUUCCUUGUGCCUCCUUCCCAAUAAGAAAACUUCAACUUAUGAACAUUGCUGAUUCCAGGGUGUAAUUAUCUUGGAGGAAACAGUUUGAAUGAGUUUUAGCAGUUCAAAGGUUUCAUUCUUAAGUUUUGUGGGAUCUUUAAUUUCCCGGGAAGUAGUUGAUGCAGCUUUGUUAGAAUUAAUCAGGUUUUACUUAAAUUGUAGUCUUGACAUAAAAAAUGGAAAUUUAUUUCACAGCAAUCGAAGUGAUCUGAAAGUAUAUGUGGAACCAGCCAUUAUUAGAAAUGAAUUGUGUUAAAUAUGCUACUAGAUUAUUUAUUUUCUUCUGUUAUUUUGAGGAUUUGACAGUUUCGAUCAGAUUUUGGCAACCAAUGGAGUGGGGCAUACUACGGAGGGCAGGUUUACGAUGGCUAUGGAUAUGCUUUGCCGCCACCUCAUGAUCCAAGUAUGUAUGCUGCAGCAGCUGCAGCAUAUGGCGCUUACCCUGUGUAUGGAAGCCACCAACAGCAAGUAAGCUGAAAUAAUCGCAACAUAAAAACACGUAGUUCUAGCAAUCUGGAUUUGUCACGCUAGAAGAGGCAAACCUGUCUCAUUUCUCCGUAGCUCUUUUGGAUCUGUAGAAUUCUUAUAAAUCCCUCCAAUUUGUGGAGAGGAACCGAAUUUUGAUGACCUGAGGUAGUCUUCAAUGGAUUUAAUUAAUUAUUUGUUUAAAAUUACGGUAGCUGAGGUAAAACGUAUUUAUUGGAAUGGGAUGCAUGAAUUGGUGAACGUGUGGAAGAGUGCACCAUGAAUAAAACAUGUGGUCUAAUAUGUGUGUUCCAUGUGCGUUUAUCUUAGAUAUAUACUGUAGUGCCUUCAUGUUGAAUGUAGGUAAUUAAAAUUUUUAUCUAAACUUUGAUGUGUUUUUGGCAGAUGGGAGUGAAUGGAGAUUUUUUUUGAAAGUGAGGUAAAGUAAAA
rnacentral:misc_RNA from 1 species